rnacentral:rRNA from 1 species
CCUACGGGAGGCAGCAGUGGGGAAUAUUGCACAAUGGGGGAAACCCUGAUGCAGCGACGCCGCGUGAGUGAAGAAGUAUCUCGGUAUGUAAAGCUCUAUCAGCAGGGAAGAAAAAAGACGGUACCGGACUAAGAAGCCCCGGCUAACUACGUGCCAGCAGCCGCGGUAAUACGUAGGGGGCAAGCGUUAUCCGGAUUUACUGGGGGUAAAGGGGGCGUAGACGGCGAGGCAAGUCUGAAGUGAAAGGCAGGGGCUUAACCCCUGAACUGCUUUUGAAACUGCGAUGCUGGAGUGCUGGAGAGGUAAGUGGAAUUCCUGGUGUAGCGGUGAAAUGCGUAGAUAUUAGGAGGAACACCAGUGGCGAAGGCGGCUUACUGGACAGUAACUGACGUUGAGGCUCGAAAGCGUGGGGAGCAAACAGGAUUAGAUACCCGUGUAGUC